rnacentral:misc_RNA from 1 species
GAAAUGCGAUACGUAAUACGAAUCGCAGCUCUCGGAAUCAUCGAAUCUUUGAACGCACAUUGCACCAUUGGGUAUUCCCAAUGGUAUGCUUGUUUGAGCGAAUACUUCCCUAAUCCUCACGGAUUGUAUUGUGUUUGCACGAAAAUAAUGACGACAGUACUCUACAAAACGGUACCGUCAGUACACUCAUUUUUUUUCCUCAAAUCAAGUAGGACUACCCGCUGAACUUAA